CCUACGGGUGGCUGCAGUGAGGAAUAUUGGUCAAUGGACGAGAGUCUGAACCAGCCAAGUAGCGUGAAGGAUGACUGCCCUAUGGGUUGUAAACUUCUUUUAUAGGGGAAGAAAACGUGCCACGUGUGGGAUUUUGUAUGUACCAUAUGAAUAAGGAUCGGCUAACUCCGUGCCAGCAGCCGCGGUAAUACGGAGGAUCCGAGCGUUAUCCGGAUUUAUUGGGUUGAAAGGGAGCGUAGGUGGAUUGUUAAGUCAGUUUUGAAAGUUUGCGGCUCACCCGUAAAAUUGCAGUUGAAACUUGCAGUCUUGAGUACAGUCGCGGUGGGCGGCAUUCGUUUUGUAGCGG
rnacentral:rRNA from 1 species